AAAAAAAACAAGGAAAGGCGGGGCUGGCUGGAGGGUGUCAGUAUCCACUCCCUUCCCACAGGUGGGGGUAGGACACCUGCGCCCCCCAGGCCCUGAGCUAGGAGCAGCAGAGUCUUGGCUGAGAGAAUUGGGGCUGCCACUGCCGUCCAUGCGCUCCCGCUCACUGGCGCCAGUCACAUGACCAAAGGCAGAGCCAGCCCUUCCCGCCCUGUGCUGUCCCAAUUAGUGCCGCGGGGUUACCUUUCUGCAUUAGUCAGCCACUGUUUCAGGCCUCUCCUUGGAGCUGAAGAGCUAGGAGGGUGCAGCCAUUUGGGGGUCACGCAGCCCUUCGCUGCACCUGUUAUGCCCCCCUUGCCCUCGUCUGCUUUUCCAUCCACACCCCCUCACCCCUGACCCUGUGGCCAGCAGCCUUCAUUGCUGUCAUCUGUUGUCAUGGGAACCACGCGGCUGUGACCUGGCACAGGCAGGAGCAGACCCAGAGCUCCUCGCAGGGGAUGCUGAGGGUAGCUGGGGGCGCCAACCUGCCCCUCGGCUGGGUGCUAAUGCACCCCCCCCAGGGAUGCCGAAGCCCACGUGGGGAGGAUGACACAGAUGGGGGGUGGUCUGGAGUGCAAGGGGUCAAGGCCUAACUGCCCCCAGCCCCUGAAGUCCCUGUCCCUUUCCAGGCCCACCUGCCUAACCCAGCUCCAGGCUGCUGGUGGUGGGGAGGGGUGGUGGGUACCUUUCCAUUUCCCUCACUGCCAAUGGGAGCGCAGAGCCCUGAGCUCAGCUCAUUCUCCAGGCUAAAAAUACCAGGGAGGCAGCAGCAGCAGCUCCCCCAAAACCCUGGCCACCGCCUCCCCUCUCCAGCGCACACACACACACACACACAGACCCAGCCUGGACCAGACACUAAGGUGCUGCUCACCCACCCACACCAUGGUCCAGGAAGGGUCUUGAAAUCCCACCACUGAGACCCAGAUCCAAGUCCUGCCACCUCUGACCCCAAUUUGCUGUGUGAUCCUGGGGUAGUCCUUUGGUUUUUCCUCUCUGGGUAACAUGGGUAUUACCUGGCUGCCCCCACCUCAUUUAAUAAGUGUAGCAGCCCUACCAGCCCCCUGAAGUAUGCACCAGUCACAGCUGCUUUUCCAGACAAGCUCACUGAGGCCGGCGCGGGCAGGGUGCUGAAGAGCCGCUAACCUGGACUUCGGUUCCAGCCUGGAACUCUCUUGCCCUGCAGUGGUCAGGUGAGCUCCGGGAGCUCCAGGUGCUGUUGAAAAAUAGACCUGUGCCCCGUGGCGGGGCAGGGUUCCUGGUCUGUGAGCUGGACUGAGAAGGGGGUGGGGAGUCCACACUGCCCUCCCCCCAGGGUCUGGUUGGGCUUGCGGGGUGUGCCUGCACCAUGGUCUGUCAGAGGGCUGGCCAGGGUGGGGCUGAGGGUCUGUCCUGCCCACCCUGGGUGUGGCCGAGGCUCAGACAAGCAGUUAGCAGAGGCUUGGGGUGAAUGUCCAUGUUGCUCAUGUACCUGGCACUGAGCAAGGCGAGGGUUAGCAGCCAGCUGCCCAACUCUGAAGGCAGCUGCGGGGUUCACUGUGACCCUGCAGCUGAGGUCAAGGUGACUGUGCCCCUGUCCAUCUGCCCUGGCCCACGUCUCCUUUCCACCAGCCCUGGGUUCCAGAGUUCCUCGUCGCUUUCCUAUUCUCUCUUAGGAACCCGAAUUAUCUAGUUUCAUUUGAGAACUGUGCGGGGGCAGGAUCCUCCCAGGGUACCAGGAAAAAUCCACCACUGGGCACUGGGCGCCACACCCUCAGGGGCUCCGUCACUGAGUGCCCACCCUUCUCCCCACCAGCCCUGCCACCCACUUCCACUGACAGUUUGAGACCCCCAGGGCUCACCUCCCCUCGCACCAACGUUUGGAGCUGGCCAGGAUAUGGAUUUUCUGAGGGGCCACCCUAACCUGCUUUCAGGCACACGCGCUAAGUAAGCAAUGCCAGCUCUUCCCGGAGGUAGGGAGGUAGCCGUGUGACCCUGGGUCGGACACUUCGUCUUCCUGGGUCAGUUUUUCUAUCUGUAGAGCAGGUGUUCAACAGCACCUCGCUACAAGGGUUGUGUGAGGUUUCAAUGAGACAUCCCCACUCUUCCUGGAGGCUGGCAGCGAAGAGGCAUGCUCCGAGAGAACGCGGGGCCGUUUGUUCCUGAACUGAGUGCCCGGAGCUGCCUGAGUCGCUGGGUGGCGGAGCCCGAGACGGCAGCUGGAGUCCCCAGCUCUGUGCACCCCAGGUCUCCCAAAGACAGGCCAUGGCCCUGAGUUUUAUGAACGUGCUUUCAGCCCAUGAAUGAGCGCCGUCACGCAAGGCAUUAAUACACUGCACCACACGGGUGGGGAAGAUGAAACGGCUAUUAGGAGAUUAGAAGUGAAGCUGAUGCCCACCUCUCGGUGCUGUUACCUCUUAGGAAAAUUACGAGAGGCAGCCCAGGGGGAGGAUGGUCCUAGGGUUCUGGUGGGGUGGGGAAGGGGCUACCUCCUGGAGCCCCAUUUGGUCUUUGGAAGAGGCAGGCCCCGGGGCGAGGGGUCUUCGAUCCUGGGCUGUGGAGUGGGUGCUGGGACCAGACGCUGGGCAUGGGCCUGGGUUCUGCCUCCUGUGGGUCCCUGGGUCAGGACCUUCCGCUUGCCAAGCCCCUGAGUUUGCGCAUCUGCAAAGGCAGGCUAAUAACAGAAGCUCCCCGGGCCCAGGCAGGGAUCCAGGGAGAUGACUUCCAGAAAGCACCCAGCCAGGGCCUGGCGCAUAGUAGGUGUUCAUUCUGUAGCCAGGAUUGGUAGCAACAUCAUCCCCGCCAUGUCUCCCUGUGAGGAUUUCACGGCCAGCUGCCCUUUCUUAGGCUGCCCGUGUGCGGUGUGCACCUGGGGUAGGGACGGGGAUCCCGUUCUGUAAGAUGAGAAAAGCCAGGCCCAGCCAAGGGGCCAGGGUCACACAUCACUCCAAGGUGGGGGCGGGGGCGGUCAGGAACAGCGCUCCCCACACAGUGCAGUGCCUACCAGGCUGAAGAGGUGUCAUGGCCUCCUCCCUUUCCCCUGCACCUGCCCCUGCUGGGCCCCAGGUGAACUCCGGAGAGCUAAGGCCCGCGCGGCGCUCUAAUCAGAGCGAGGCCGCAGAGCAGCACGGGGAGCGGGGAUGGGCUCGGCAGGUAGCAGGGCCGGCGCAGCCGCAGGGAGGCUGCGAAGCCGGCGGCCAGGCCGGCGGUGGGCUGCGGAGGGUGCGCGCUGAGGGGGCGGGAGAGCACGGCGCGGCCGUCCUGGAGAGCCCCGGGGACUUCUGUGUCCGUGCCCACACCCGGAGCUGAUGAUCCUUACCUGGGCCUGCCUCCGGUACCGCCAGCUCUUGAAGAGAGGAGGGCUGGAGCGUGUGGCUGGAAGCUUAGCUUUGGCCUCGGGCAGCCUGGGUCCCAGUUCCAGCCCAUCUGGGUGAGCUUUGAACCAGCCGCUCCUCCUUUUCCUUUCAAGUUCUGGCCUCUCUGCUUCUGAUCCAGAUUCCUGCUGAUGAGCCUAGGAAGGCAAGACAACCCAAGUGCUUGGACCCCUGCCACCCACUUGGGAGUCCCAGAUGCAGGACCUGGCUCCUGGCUUUGUCCUUGCCUAGCCCCAGCUGUCCUGAACAUUUGGGGAGUGAGCCAGUAGAUGGAAGCUCUCUCUCUGUAUCUGUCCCUUCCUCUGUCACUCUGCCUUCCAAAACAUGGAGUCAGUCGGGGGUGGUGCUGUGGAGCAGUGGGCGAAGCUGCCACUUGGAAUGCCAGCAUCCAGUAGCACAGCACUGGUUCCAGUCUGCUCCACUUCCAGUCCAGUUUGUUCCCUGCUAGUGCGCCUGGGAGAGCAGCUGAAGAUGGUCCAGUGCUCAGAUCCCUGCCACCCACCAGGAAGUCCCGGAUGGAUCUGGCACAGCCCGGGGCAUUGCAGCCAUUGGGGAGUGAAUCUGCAGAUGGAAGAUGUCUUUCUCUCUCUCUCUUCUUUUUCUCUGUAAAUCUGCCUUUCACAUAAAUACAUCUUUUUUUUU